rnacentral:rRNA from 1 species
AGUUAUAAAGUUAUUUGGUGAAGUGUACUACUUGGAUAGCCGUAGUAAUUCUAGGGCUAAUCCAUGAGAAAGUCCUCUGGUGAGGUGUGUUUAUUAGAAUGAAAACCAUAUGCUUCGGCAUGAUAGUGAGUAAUAGUAACCUAUCGUAUCACAUGCUUAAUGUAGCGAUGAGUCUUUCAAGUUUCUGCCCUAUCAGCUUUCGAUGGUAGUAUAUGGUCCUACCAUGGCAGUAACGGGUAAGGAAGAAUUUGGGUUCGAUUUCGGAGAGGGAGCCUGAGAGAUGGCUACCUCAUCCAAGGAAGGCAGCAGGGGCGUAAAUUACCCAAUCCUGCCACAGGGAGGUAGCAACAAUAAAUCACAAUGCGGUCGUAUCGGUCUUGCAAUUGGAUUGAGUGUCUAUGAGGGUCUCUGAUCGAAAAGCCAUGGGAGGGCGAGUCUGGUAUCAGCAGGCGCGGUAAUCGCAGUUGUCCUAUAAGGGGGC